rnacentral:misc_RNA from 1 species
CCAGGUUGGAGAACUCCUUGAGGUA